AUACAGUUAAUAACCCAAACAAAGAGC
rnacentral:sRNA from 1 species